rnacentral:tRNA from 1 species
AAUGCCAGUUUUGGGUGUUGGCG